rnacentral:rRNA from 1 species
AAACUGAAGAGUUUGAUCAUGGCUCAGAUUGAACGCUGGCGGCAGGCCUAACACAUGCAAGUCGAGCGGUAACAGAUCUAGCUUGCUAGAUGCUGACGAGCGGCGGACGGGU